UGAAAUUCUAAUGGAAAUGUUUCACAAUGAUGUCAUUAGGCAGAGCAGGCAACAGAUGGCACACAGACAGCAGAGUUGGGGACAGAUAUGCAGGGACAGACUGGCAGAGACAGGGAGUCUCAGGUCCCUAGUGGAAUGACAACAACAUGGCUGCUUGUUAAAGAAGAGAUGGAGAGAGAGACAGAGAUAACCAUAUACAUUGCACAUGGACCGUAAGAAAUCCUGAAGUAGGCCUAACCCUCACCAAUUAUUCUGGUGAUGGAGAGAGACACCAGACAAGACACAGAGACAGCAACAGAAGAGUAGGAUAUGAUGGAGAGAGAUACCAGACAUGACACAGAGACAGCAACAGAAGAAUAGGAUAUGAUGGAGAGAGACACCAGACAAGACACAGAGACAGCAACAGAAGAAUAGGAUAUGAUGGAGAGACACCAGACAAGACACAGAGACAGCAACAGAAGAAUAGGAUAUGAUGGAGAGAGACACCAGACAAGACACAGAGACAGCAACAGAAGAAUAGGAUAUGAUGGAGAGAGACACCAGACAAGACACAGAGACAGCAACAGAAGAAUAG
rnacentral:lncRNA from 1 species